rnacentral:tRNA from 1 species
GCCGGGGUGGCGGAAUGGUUUACGCAGAAGACUUAAAAUCUUUCCCUCGCAAGAGGUUGUGGGUUCGAGUCCCACCCCCGGCACAA